UGCUGUUGUAAAAUGUGUGCGGGCAAAACGGGGGCAAAACUGCCUCCAGGUGUUGUUGACCCGGGGGGCCCUGCGACCACAACGCCUGGCGCGAGGACCGAGGCUGCCGAAAGGAACAGGCCCGCGAGGUCCUGAAGGUCCGAUUGCCUAACAACUUGUGCUGGCUGCGCCAUAAGGCUUAAGCUACGCGGCCCUGUCUAGUUAGGACGACACCACGUUUUUCGGGCCUGGUGCCUUGGCAAACGGAACGCCCCCAAGGGCGUCCGAUUGCCAGGCGGUGACCGCCCUGAGGGCGUUUAGAGCGACACCGCGUCCGCGGGGCGUUGAUAGAGGCACUAGGCGGGAUUCCCGCGCAGUUGGUUUCUCAGAAGGGCCUCCCUCAGGGCCCUGUGAGGGCCCAAUAAGAGGAAAAAAGUACGGCCCCUAACAGACCAACUUCUAGCGAUGGAGAAAUCGUCGUAAUGUUAGUAGUAAAGUGUAUGGAUGCAUUGCGAAUUAGCUACAGGGCAGCCGAAGCAAUGUGAACAAAGUUCGAUAUCAAGUCCGCCGUUGCUUGUUAAUGACGCCAUAAAGCGAGGAUGUAAACUAAAUUGCUUUGAAAGCCUAUGUAAGUGCUUCGUAAUCAGGGUGCUUACUAGCAUGACGACUCGUAAGGGCGUGCGGGAUAGCUUGUGCCAGCACUCCAGGAGGAGGUCCGUAUCGCCCUACUAAACAUCUUGUGCCAAAAAGAAAACUGUUACAGAAUUAAUUAACAGCACUCCAAUCCAAAACUGCGCUUGUUAAAGCUUUCAGCUGGGGUGCAGUGGGCCAAGCUCCGGGGUUCAGGAUCCAUAUCCUUGACCCGUCAACAAGGUACGUGCGUCAAGCGCGUUGCAGUUAGACCCACAUAGACAGCUUUUAGCAGGCUAGUUGCGAGCUCUUUCCAAACAAGUUGUCUUUGCUUUAACUAGCCGGAAAUAACCCCUUAACCCGUUCGCGUCCACUUCCCCGGUAACGGGGCCCCUUUAUCCUGAAAGUCAGCUCCUCCCAAACUCAGCGCCUCCUUUCCCCUUGAGGGUUACAACUGCACAGCCGUGAUACUUGUCACAACGAGCAUUCUAACACACCAAUCACCGACCGCCCAUAAAUGCCACGGACCACUGUAACCGCUCCAUCUCCACACCAUGCUAUAAGCCAAGGCGCGCACACCAUCCUCACCACUAGACCCGACCGAUUGGCGAAGACCCUCCACUCCGUGACGGCGAGGCUUUUCCUUGCCUAACCCCCUCACAAGCCAAUGCAACAAUUCGGAAUCUCCCAAAGCAACCCAGUUCACUCAAUCCGGCCACUAGCAUCGGCCAUUAGCAUCGCCACCCAGCUCAGCAAAUCAUUUCUGUACAUUUGUACACGCACGUCUGAGUUAUGUGUGUGUGUAUGUUACACCUCGGUUGCGUUACCCAGAGAGGUGUAACGAGUGCCCAUACGAGCCAUAAGAGUUGUAAUACCCAAUUCAUCACGUGGAAGGCAAACACAUUGACGAACGCCCCUGGACUGUCGCGGCAUGUAACACCGCCGCCGUCACCCUCUCCUCCAACAACAGUUCCCCGCCGUCCUCCAGCGCCGCCAGCGCCGCAGCCGCGGCUGCCGCCAUGUACGACACCGUUCUGUACGAGCAGUGCCCAUUGCGUCCGUGCCGUGGCGCUGACGCUGCCGCAGCUGCUCCAACCGACAAUCGCGCCACCUUGACUGCGUCCCGCUGCUGACCACCGCCACCCCCACCACCGCCACCACCACAGAUGCGAUCACAUCUGUCGCCGCCAGACAUGCCUCCGCGUAGAGGACUUGAGGGCGCAACACUGCUACCGCCGCCGCAGUCGUAGCCAGUGCGCGUCUG
rnacentral:lncRNA from 1 species